AGUGAACGCUGGCGGUAGGCCUAACACAUGCAAGUCGAACGGCAGCACAGUAAGAUCUUGCUCUUACGGGUGGCGAGUGGCGGACGGGUGAGGAAUACAUCGGAAUCUACUUUUUCGUGGGUGAUAACGGAGGGAAACUUACGCUAAUACCUCAUACGACCUACGGGUGAAAGCAGGGGAUCUUCGGACCUUUCGCGAUUGAAUGAGCCGAUGUCGGAUUAGCUAGUUGGCGGGGUAAAGGCCCACCAAGGCGACGAUCCGUAGCUGGUCUGAGAGGAUGAUCAGCCACACUGGAACUGAGACACGGUCCAGACUCCUACGGGAGGCAGCAGUGGGGAAUAUUGGACAAUGGGCGCAAGCCUGAUCCAGCCAUACCGCGUGGGUGAAGAAGGCCUUCGGGUUGUAAAGCCCUUUUGUUGGGAAAGAAAAGCAGCAGGUUAAUACCCCGCUGUUCUGACGGUACCCAAAGAAUAAGCACCGGCUAACUUCGUG
rnacentral:rRNA from 1 species